AUGAGAUUAACAAGUAGAAAGCUCGAAGGAACCUGCUUGUUCGUACACUGACGAAGCUGAACAGGAAAGACGAAUGAUUUUUGGAAGUGGAGCUGAUCUUAUAUACUAACUGGGUCGCCAUAGCAACCAUCGGUUGGUGAUCGUCACCGCUUCCUAAGCAACGGAGAAAACAAAGCGUGAUUUAUGCGUGAAAGAUAUUCCAGUUAUUUGCGAAAUAAGGAUAUUGGUGUGAUCCAUCAGCCUUUCGAAUUCAAUUUAAAGUUACAUGUAGGCAACUCGGUCAUUUUAAAACAAGGAACAAAUAUUGUUCAACUUUAACUAACAUAGAACUUAAUCCAUUUAAUUUUAAUGUGGCCCGGUAGCCUUUCCGAGGAAUUCAUUUAUAUUCUUCACCAAACGCAUUUGCUUUUUCUAUUAUUUUUGCACUCGUCUCAGUAACUGGUGACCUACCUUUGAUUAUUGCUCCCAACAACAGGCGCCACGCUCAGUAACCCUGAAAACAAUUGCGUGCGACAGCACGUCGCACUUGGCUGUAGGAAUGCAACAGAUAAACGUCACAGAGGAUUCGCUUAUUUGAUGCUAAAGGCUAGGACGUCAUUCGUCACGCUAUUUGCCUAAGUACAGCCUCUCUCAAUGCAUUGCAAGGGCUUAAAAUUCAUAUCUCAUUGCUUACAUAUCUAGAAAAACGAUGGGGUGGUGCAAUAAUCGCGACAUAUUAGACGCUGCUCUAGUCAGAUUUGUUGUUGACAGAAUAUAAAGUUAUCUCCGCCACACUCACGCGUAUACUGCUUGCCAUUUCCAUGACCUUCAGUACGAAUUUGGGGUUUUCCUGAUUUCUAUUCGUGCCUUUGCGUUUUCGAUGUGUUAGCCAGUUGCGAAACUGAGAUUUCGCACGGAUUCGAGUUUUGCAAAUCAUGGCGAACAAUGCACGUUCUUUAAAUUAUAGCAAUCGUGACUACUGGUCAAUAUGAUUCUAUUUUACGUUUUUCCUCCUGUGCGCAAAGGGAAACAUCCGUCCUAUAAGAACGAACAGAUCUGCUCGUCGUUUGUUAACCAAAGUUUUAUUAAUGAGAUAAGAGAUGACUUGCUACAAAACAUAGCUCAUUGUUAAUUUUUUCAUUGUGAUAAAGACAAUAAGCCUGAUAAAAGUUCUAACACACAACUUAUGUAUAGAAAAUCAAACUGCUAAAAUUGCGUGCUUUUUUUUUUUGCUAGAAAACCAACUGUUAGCUGACAACGGAUGGUUGCGAAACAAACUAUUGUUGCACUCGAAGAUCAUGGAUUCAUUGCGAAGGUGCAUGUUCCCAUGUCGAUGUUAUGCGAACACACCAAUAAUAUUUAGAAAUUUUUGCCGUAACUACUAUUAUUGCUAUUGUGCAGUUCCUGGUAAUCAUAUAUGUUGACAUUGGUGCCCAAGUUGAUCUCGGUUAAAGAAGAGAGGUUCCUUUUUAUACAGGUGCAACAAGUCUCGACUCCGGGCUCUUCAUAGAAAUUUUGGCGGCGGUGGUUAGUAAUUUUAAUUCACAUUUAUUGUACUGGAUAAUAAGUAAGUUUGUGUUAGCAUUACUUGUUUAUUCACUCACUGACGAUUGUUAACAGAUCGGCUUCAUAGAAACGCAAAUUUUCAUUUAUUUAGAUGCUCCAAAUGUCGUCGCCAUGGAUUCCACGUUGAGAAAACACUCGGUCACAAUACUGGACAGAUGUGGCUACAAAUAUCGUCAGUAUGGAAGCCUUGCAGAAACAAAAACUAGUUUGCCGAAAGCUUGCCUGGCACCCUUAAAAAACACAAGGAUUGCGUACUUCUGAAUUACGAAUGCCAGUUCGCGGAUAGGUGCAGCCAUACGUGGAAUGUCAUGUCGCUAAUUGUAGUUGUAUCGUGUUUGGUAAUCUGCAACUUGUUCACAACCUUAUCCUUGCUCUUGUCAAUGGACAUCAUGAAUAAUUAAAGCCUGACGUAUCAUUGGCAUCCACUGCUACUGUGGUGUCCAUGCCUCUGACCUUUUCUGUGUGCAAGAAGCUUACGAACCCGAGGUCUCAACUACACCGAGGACGAUGCUGCGAGAUUUUGGUGAUUCGCUUCGCCAGAAAAUUUUAUCCGGUUGGUAUCUACGACGAUUGAAUAUCGCAAAAGCACGUUUUCAAGUUACUGAACCCUUGCUUCGUUUGGUUCACUGAGAUGGUUGUGACGAGACUGCGAACGUAUGAUGGAAGUUUCAGUACAUAUUCUGUUUAGCCUGUUUAUCUUUUUUGUAUGAUAAUGAACAAAAGGAACAAUAUAUU